rnacentral:rRNA from 1 species
GUCGAACGGGAUCCAAGCAGUGGCAACACUGUGGAAGAUCUAGUGGCGAACGGGUGCGUAACACGUGAGGAACCUACCCCGGUCUCUGGAAUAACAGGUGGAAACACCUGCUAAUACCGGAUGCCGUCGGAUCAUCGCAUGGUGGACCGACGAAAGAUUUAUCGGAUCGGGAGGGCCUCGCGGCCUAUCAGCUAGUUGGUGGGGUAAUGGCCUACCAAGGCAUCGACGGGUAGCUGGUCUGAGAGGAUGAUCAGCCACACUGGGACUGAGACACGGCCCAGACUCCUACGGGAGGCAGCAGUGGGGAAUCUUGCGCAAUGGGCGAAAGCCUGACGCAGCAACGCCGCGUGGGGGAAGAAGGCUCUCGGGUUGUAAACCCCUUUCAGCAGGAACGAAACUGACGGUACCUGCAGAAGAAGGUGCGGCCAACUACGUGCCAGCAGCCGCGGUGACACGUAGGCACCAAGCGUUGUCCGGAUUUAUUGGGCGUAAAGAGCUCGUAGGCGGUUCAGUAAGUCGGGUGUGAAAACUUCGGGCUUAACCCGAAGCCUGCAUCCGAUACUGCUGUGACUUGAGUCCGGUAGGGGAGUGGGGAAUUCCUGGUGUAGCGGUGAAAUGCGCAGAUAUCAGGAGGAACACCGGUGGCGAAGGCGCCACUCUGGGCCGGUACUGACGCUGAGGAGCGAAAGCGUGGGUAGCAAACAGGAUUAGAUACCUGGCAGUCCACGCCGUAAACGUUGGGCACUA